rnacentral:rRNA from 1 species
UACGGGGGGAGCAAGCGUUGUUCGGAGUUACUGGGCGUAAAGGGCGCGUAGGCGGUCGUGACAAGUCACUUGUGAAAUCUCCGGGCUUAACUCGGAACGGUCAAGUGAUACUGUCGGACUAGAGUACGGAAGGGGCAACUGGAAUUCUCGGUGUAGCGGUGAAAUGCGUAGAUAUCGAGAGGAACACCUGCGGCGAAGGCGGGUUGCUGGGCUGAUACUGACGCUGAGGCGCGAAAGCCAGGGGAGCGAACGGG